rnacentral:rRNA from 1 species
UACGUAGGGUGCAAGCGUUGUCCGGAAUUAUUGGGCGUAAAGAGCUCGUAGGCGGUCUGUCGCGUCGGCUGCGAAAUCCCGAGGCUCAACCUCGGGUCUGCAGUCGAUACGGGCAAACUAGAGUAUUGCAGGGGAGACUGGAAUUCCUGGUGUAGCGGUGAAAUGCGCAGAUAUCAGGAGGAACACCGGUGGCGAAGGCGGGUCUCUGGGCAAUAACUGACGCUGAGGAGCGAAAGCGUGGGGAGCGAACAGG